rnacentral:rRNA from 1 species
CCUACGGGAGGCAGCAGUGAGGAAUAUUGGUCAAUGGCCGGAAGGCUGAACCAGCCAUGCCGCGUGAAGGUCAGUGCCCUAUGGGCGUUAAACUUCUUUUGUGCGGGAGCAAUAAUGGUCACGUGUGGCCAGAAGAGAGUACCGUACGAAUAAGCAUCGGCUAACUACGUGCCAGCAGCCGCGGUAAUACGGGGGAUGCAAGCGUUACCCGGAUUUAUUGGGUUUAAAGGGUGCGUAGGCUGGGCGGUAAGGCAGCGGGGGAAUGCCCCCGCUCAACGGGGUGAAGUGCCAUUGAUACUGGCGUGCUGGAAUGCGGAUGCCGUAGGAGGAAUGUGUGGUGUAGCGGUGAAAUGCAUAGAUAUCACACAGAACACCGAUUGCGAAGGCAUCUCACGAAUCCGCGAUUGACGCUGAUGCACGAAAGCGUGGGUAUCAAACAGGAUUAGAUACCCCAGUAGUC